rnacentral:rRNA from 1 species
UACGUAGGGUGAAGGCGUUAAUCGGAAUUACUGGGCGUAAAGCGUGCGCAGGCGGUCUUUUAAGUCAGAUGUGAAAUCCCCGGGCUUAACCUGGGAACUGCGUUUGAAACUGGAAGGCUAGAGUGUGGCAGAGGGGGGUGGAAUUCCACGUGUAGCAGUGAAAUGCGUAGAGAUCAGGAGGAACACCCGUGGCGAAGGCGGCUCCCUGGUCCGUUACUGACGCUGAGACGCGAAAGCGCGGGGAGCGAACGGG